rfam:Triticum aestivum genome assembly, contig: Triticum_aestivum_CS42_TGACv1_scaffold_250070_3DL
UAUAUACUUCCUCCGUCUGAAAAUACUUGUCAUCAAAAUGGAUAAAAAGAGAUGUAUCUAAAACUAAAAUACGUCUAGAUACCUUUCCUUUUAUCCAUUUUGAUGACAAGUAUUUCCGGACGGAGGGAGUAUUUG